AUGAAAUGGCGGAUGCUGCAUCAUUCAGAGACAAAGUCUCGAAUCCAGGGGCCCAGAGACCCAACAGUGUGGAGUUAUUGCCCCCUAUGAUGUCUGAAAGUGCUACAGAGCUAAGGAUUGUGCUGCUCGGCAAGAAUGGCUCUGAGAAGAGUGCUGUUGGAAACUUCAUCCUGGAAAU